rnacentral:rRNA from 1 species
CCUAAUACAUGCAAGUCGAACGCUUCUUUUUCCACCGGAGCUUGCUCCACCGGAAAAAGAGGAGUGGCGAACGGGUGAGUAACACGUGGGUAACCUGCCCAUCAGAAGGGGAUAACACUUGGAAACAGGUGCUAAUACCGUAUAACAAUCAAAACCGCAUGGUUUUGAUUUGAAAGGCGCUUUCGGGUGUCGCUGAUGGAUGGACCCGCGGUGCAUUAGCUAGUUGGUGAGGUAACGGCUCACCAAGGCCACGAUGCAUAGCCGACCUGAGAGGGUGAUCGGCCACAUUGGGACUGAGACACGGCCCAAACUCCUACGGGAGGCAGCAGUAGGGAAUCUUCGGCAAUGGACGAAAGUCUGACCGAGCAACGCCGCGUGAGUGAAGAAGGUUUUCGGAUCGUAAAACUCUGUUGUUAGAGAAGAACAAGGAUGAGAGUAACUGUUCAUCCCUUGACGGUAUCUAACCAGAAAGCCACGGCUAACUACGUGCCAGCAGCCGCGGUAAUACGUAGGUGGCAAGCGUUGUCCGGAUUUAUUGGGCGUAAAGCGAGCGCAGGCGGUUUCUUAAGUCUGAUGUGAAAGCCCCCGGCUCAACCGGGGAGGGUCAUUGGAAACUGGGAGACUUGAGUGCAGAAGAGGAGAGUGGAAUUCCAUGUGUAGCGGUGAAAUGCGUAGAUAUAUGGAGGAACACCAGUGGCGAAGGCGGCUCUCUGGUCUGUAACUGACGCUGAGGCUCGAAAGCGUGGGGAGCAAACAGGAUUAGAUACCCUGGUAGUCCACGCCGUAAACGAUGAGUGCUAAGUGUUGGGAGGGUUUCCGCCCCUUCAGUGCUGGCAGCUAAACGCAUUUAAGCACUCCCGCCUGGGGGAGUACGACCGCCAAGGUUUGAAACUUC